rnacentral:tRNA from 1 species
UCCGGUAUAGCUCAGUUGGUUAGAGCAGCGGACUGUUAAUCCGCGUGUCGCUAGUUCGAGUCUAGCUACCGGAGCAA